rnacentral:rRNA from 1 species
AAAGGAAUUGACGGGGACCCGCACAAGCGGUGGAGCAUGUGCUUUAAUUCGAUGCAACGCGAAGAACCUUACCUGGUCUUGACAUACCAGUGCCCUCUAUAGAGAUAUAGAUUUAUCUUCGGAUACACUGGAUACAGGUGCUGCAUGGUUGUCGUCAGCUCGUGUCGUGAGAUGUUGGGUUAAGUCCCGCAACGAGCGCAACCCUUGUCCUUAGUUGCCAGCGAGUAAUGUCGGGAACUCUAAGGAGACUGCCUACGCAAGUAGGAGGAAGGUGAGGAUGACGUCAAAUCAUCAUGGCCCUUACGACCAGGGCUAGACACGUGCUACAAUGGGUGGUACAAAGGGUUGCUACUUGGUGACAAGAUGCUAAUCUCAAAAAACCACUCUCAGUUCGGAUUGUAGUCUGCAACUCGACUACAUGAAGUUGGAAUCGCUAGUAAUCGUGGGUCAGCAUACCACGGUGAAUACGUUCCCGGGUCUUGUACACACCGCCCGU